rnacentral:rRNA from 1 species
AACGAACGCUGGCGGCGUGCUUAACACAUGCAAGUCGAACGUGAAAGGCUUCGGCCGAGUAAAGUGGCGCACGGGUGAGUAACGCGUGGGAAUCUACCCUAGAGCGGGGGACAACCCGGGGAAACCCGGGCUAAUACCGCAUACGUCCUACGGGAGAAAGAGGGCCUCUGCUUGCACGCUCUCACUCCAGGAUGAGCCCACGUCCGAUUAGCUAGUUGGUAGGGUAAAGGCCUACCAAGGCCACGAUCGGUAGCUGGUCUGAGAGGAUGAUCAGCCACACUGGGACUGAGACACGGCCCAGACUCCUACGGGAGGCAGCAGUGGGGAAUAUUGGACAAUGGGCGCAAGCCUGAUCCAGCAAUGCCGCGUGUGUGAAGAAGGCCUGCGGGUUGUAAAGCACUUUCAGU